rnacentral:rRNA from 1 species
GAUGAACGCUGGCGGCAUGCCUAAUACAUGCAAGUCGAGCGAAGCGGGGAAGGGUGAGUAAAACGUGGAUAAACUCAUAUAAGACUGGGAUAACUUCGGGAACCCGGAGCUACACCGGAUAAUUAUAGCGUGAUCCGCGCUGCAUUAGCUAGUUGGUAAGGUAACGGCAUACCAAGGCAACUAUGCAUAGCCGACCUGACAGGGUGAUCGGCCACACUGGAACUGAGACACGGUCCAGACUCCUACGGGAGGCAGCAGGAGGGAAUCUUCCGCAAUGGGCGAAAGCCUGACGGAGCAACGCCGCGUGAGUGAUGAAGGUCUUCGGAUCGUAAAACUCUGUUAUUAGGGAAGCGGUACCUAAUCAGAAAGCCCCGGCUAACUACGUGCCAGCAGCCGCGGUAAUUC